GGGCCCGCACAAGCGGUGGAGCAUGUGGUUUAAUUCGAUGAUACGCGAGGAACCUUACCUAGGCUUAAAUGUAGAUUGACUUAUUGGGAAACCAGUAUUUCUUCGGACAAUCUACAAGGUGCUGCAUGGUUGUCGUCAGCUCGUGCCGUGAGGUGUCGGGUUAAGUCCCAUAACGAGCGCAACCCCUAUCAUUAGUUGCUAACAUUUAGUUGAGGACUCUAAUGAAACUGCCCGCGUAAGCGGUGAGGAAGGUGGGGAUGACGUCAAAUCAUCACGGCCCUUACGUCUAGGGCUACACACGUGCUACAAUGGUAACUACAGAGGGAAGCUAGCUGGUGACAGUAAGCAAAUCCUUAAAAGUUAUCCCAGUUCGGAUUGAAGUCUGCAACUCGACUUCAUGAAGCAGGAAUCGCUAGUAAUCGCGCAUC
rnacentral:rRNA from 1 species